CGCGUAGGCGGAUUGGAAAGUUGGAUGUGAAAUUCCGAGGCUCAACCUCGGAGCUGCAUACAAAACUCCCGAUCUAGAGGGAUGGCGGAGAAAACGGAAUUCCACGUGUAGCGGUGAAAUGCGUAGAUAUGUGGAGGAACACCUGUGGCGAAAGCGGUUUUCUAGCUUAUACCUGACGCUGAGGCGCGAGAGCAAGAGGAGCAAACA
rnacentral:rRNA from 1 species